UACGUAGGGUGCGAGCGUUAAUCGGAAUUAUUGGGCGUAAAGCGCGCGCAGGCGGUUUCUUAAGUCUGAUGUGAAAGCCCACGGCUCAACCGUGGAGGGUCAUUGGAAACUGGGGAACUUGAGUGCAGAAGAGAAAAGCGGAAUUCCACGUGUAGCGGUGAAAUGCGUAGAGAUGAUGGAGGAACACCGGUGGCGAAGGCGGGUCUCUGGGCCGAUACUGACGCUGAGGAGCGAAAGCGUGGGGAGCAAACAGG
rnacentral:rRNA from 1 species